rnacentral:miRNA from 1 species
UGUUCUGUUAUUUUCUUUUUGGGGUCUGUCUUGCAGACUUAUACCCAGAGAGAACUUGCUGCAAGACAGACCCCAAAAAGAAAAUAACAGAACA